rnacentral:tRNA from 1 species
GGCGCAGUGGCUUAGUGAUUAAAGCACUUUUCUUGUAAACAGGAAAUCCUGGGUUCAAAUACCAGUAGUGCCU